rnacentral:piRNA from 1 species
UAACAGAUGCCGAGGAAACACAUGUGA